rnacentral:rRNA from 1 species
UUUUCGGAGAGUUUGAUCCUGGCUCAGAGUGAACGCUGGCGGCGUAGAUUAGGCAUGCAAGUCGAGCGAUACCCGGGUUGGAGAGUUUGAAGCCGUAAGGCAGAUGACAAUUUGACCUGGGAUAUAGCGGCAGACUGGUGAGGAACACGUGAGUAAUUUACCUUUAAGUCAGGGAUAGCUUCGCGAAAGCGGAGGUAAUACCCGAUGUGUUUACACGAACGCAAGUUUGUGUAAGUAAAGGCGCUUCGUAAGAGGUGAUGCUUAUAGAUGAGCUCGCGUCCUAUCAGCUAGUUGGUAGGGUAAUGGCCUACCAAGGCUUUUGACGGGUAGCUGGCCUGAGAGGGUGGUCAGCCACAUGGGGACUGAGACACUGCCCCAACUCCUACGGGAGGCUGCAGUCGAGGAUAUUUAGCAAUGGGCGAAAGCCUGACUAUGUGACGCCGCGUGAGGGAUGAAGG